AGAGCGAACGCUGGCGGCAGGCUUAACACAUGCAAGUCGAGCGGGCGUAGCAAUACGUCAGCGGCAGACGGGUGAGUAACGCGUGGGAACGUACCUUUUGGUUCGGAACAACCCAGGGAAACUUGGGCUAAUACCGGAUAAGCCCUUACGGGGAAAGAUUUAUCGCCGAAAGAUCGGCCCGCGUCUGAUUAGCUAGUUGGUGAGGUAAUGGCUCACCAAGGCGACGAUCAGUAGCUGGUCUGAGAGGAUGAUCAGCCACAUUGGGACUGAGACACGGCCCAAACUCCUACGGGAGGCAGCAGUGGGGAAUAUUGGACAAUGGGCGCAAGCCUGAUCCAGCCAUGCCGCGUGAGUGAUGAAGGCCCUAGGGUUGUAAAGCUCUUUUGUGCGGGAAGAUAAUGACGGUACCGCAAGAAUAAGCCCCGGCUAACUUCGUGCUAGCAGCCGC
rnacentral:rRNA from 1 species